CGAUACCGGGUUGUGAUUGUAUCAACCAAAAAGUAUUUAAGUGAUCGAAAGAUGACUUGGAAUACGGCACAAACGCGAGAACUCAGACCUAUAAGGUGGGUGUCGACGAGACACACUCGUUAUAGGGUCAAGCGAACAAGUGCAUGUGGUGGAUGCCUUGGCGAUUACAGGCGAUGAAGGACGCGGUAGCCUGCGAAAAGCUUCGGGGAGCUGGCAAACGAGCUUUGAUCCGGAGAUGUCCGAAUGGGGAAACCCGGCCCGAAUGGGUCAUCCGUGACUGAAUACAUAGGUCACGGAAGCG
rnacentral:misc_RNA from 1 species